rnacentral:tRNA from 1 species
GGCGCUGUGGUGCAGUGGACUAGCGCCCUGGCCUGAAGUGCCAGCAUCCCGUAUGGGCGCUGGUUCGAGACCGGGCUGCUCCA